AGCAAACCUGCUGGACAGAAAGCUUCGGGAAGAAUAAAUGUGCCAAACUGGGUUGGAAAUACAAACAGUUCUUCACAGAUGAAGUCAAUGGUGGCCGAGGGCCAUCAAUGAGCACGUAUUCGUCACCUUUGUUCCGUUUCUGCACUUUAACACACAGAGCCCCGAAAGGAAUGAGACACUCAUUUUACCCUCAUGAGAUCACUUGCAGCUUUCCUGCCAACAAGCCUUCCUGGUGGUUUUCACUACAUGUGGAUUCCUGUCUCUCAAAAGAGAAGCGAUGGCCUGUCCUGAUAGGAGCCUGGAAAGAAGGAUUCAGACCUCCUGGGAACUGUGCUCAGCGGGGUAAGGUGCUGUGGCUUAGAACCGUGUGUUCCCCUGUUCUCUUUGAAUCACCGGCACCUCCUCACGAGGUGACAGCUGAUCGCACAGCUGCCUCAUGAUCUCAGUGUGGUCACGGCAGGACCCUGCACAUCUGUCCACUGACACCAUUUGAUCAGUUUUGGAGUGCCGCGCCUCUGACAGCCAGUCCUUAGGGCCUCCAUGAUCUCCCCUACCUGCCAGUUCCGAGAUUCCUGAUUUAAAUUACAAGCUGACUGGCAGAAGGAAGAGUUGGUGGAGAGGUGCUGGGGACAAUGAGUCAGGCUCUGGACUAAAGUCUUUGUCAUCAGUCACCAGUUAUGUCAUAAGCCUCCUUUGUUAUGACCAAUGCUCACUUUCCCUCAGCUUUGUCUCCUGUAAAAUCCCGCUGACAUCCAGUGGGGAGCAAGGCUGGCCCUUUCCUAGGAUCCUGGGGCUUCUUUGCUCUCCCGCCCUCACUUCUGUCUUCUCCCCCAAGCCCCAGGGCAGCAGCCUUUAGGACUCUCGUUUAGCAACACACGGACACUAAAAGUGAGUGUUUAAGCCGACCCCGCUGCCAGAGCACGUGGGCCUGAGAGUGCCGGAGGCCUCCCCAUCUGCUUAGCAUGGUCCACUGCGCAGAGCCCAUCACCAACAGCUGACUCUGCUGCCGAAGGGAGGAAAGUUGGUCACUGCCCACAGGCCCACAGGGGUCCUGCAGACACAGGCUUGCCAGUACCUCCAGGAACCCAAAAAAGAAAAGCCAAACUCAGGGAAGAGCUUGGCUGAAAGAGGGACUUAGUAAAGAGUCACAUAAGCCACCUUAGCCUUGGGGUAAAAUUAGUAUGCUGGAGGAAGCACCCUUGGUCGACGCCCCCUGAAACCUGGCAACCUUAAAAAAAAAAUGCUUUCCUCUCCUGGCUAUCAAGAAGCCACAUCCUUGUCACAUUUGUGUGGACCGCCCUCAUAAAACUGCAAGUAAUGCACUUCUGCAAAUAGAUGUGGCUGGUUCCCCAAUCUCAGGUCCAUCUGGGCUGAGGCUUUCAAAUCUUUUGCUAAUGAAGACACGACAUGGGCCAGCUGGUUAGAAGUGGAGCCUGGAGGCGAUGGGGGUCUCAGCUUUGCUGACGGCCCGAGAGGAAUGCCUUUGCUCUGUAAUGUUUCACCAAGCCCAAAGACAUCAGGCAAGGGCAAGUGGCCCAAGAGGCCCCGCAUUUCAUCUUUUGGAGAUCCCAUUUGCAUCUGGCACCGUUGUGAAAAGCACAGCUGUUUUCUUUCCAGUCAUCAGAACCGCAUGUUUAUAACAUAAAUAAAUAUGGUAGCAUCUUCACCAUA